rnacentral:rRNA from 1 species
GUCCACGCUGUAAACGAUGGAUACUAGCAUUCGGAGGUGUCGACCCCUUCGGUAGCGAAGCUAACGCGUUAAGUAUCCCGCCUGUGUAGUACGAGCGCAAGCUUAAAACAUAAAGGAAUUGACGGGGACCCGCACAAGCGGUGGAGCGUGUUCUUUAAUUCGAGGCUAAGCGAAGAACCUUACCAGGGUUUGACAUCCUGCGAAGUCCGUCGAAAGAUGGAUGUGCCUUCGGGAGCGCAGUGACAGGUGUUGCAUGGCCGUCGU